rnacentral:rRNA from 1 species
UUGGGUUUAAAGUGCGUAGGCGGCCCUCAUCGUCGGGCGUGAAAUUCCUGGGCUUAACCUGGGGGCUGCGUUCGAUACGUGGGGGCUUGAGUGUGGGAGAGGGUCGUGGAAUUCCCAGUGUAGAGGUGAAAUUCGUAGAUAUUGGGAAGAACACCGGUGGCGAAGGCGGCGACCUGGUCCAUGACUGACGCUGAGGCGCGAAAAGCGUGGGGAGAAAACAGGAUUAGAUACCCUGGUA